ACUAAGUUUUAUUCUAGCUUAGUGGUUAAGUAUUUUUUUUUAUUUACAUGCAAGGAUUAAAUGAUUAAGAGUUUAAAAAGCUUUUAUUUAAAAUGCAGUAAUUAAUUUUAGUUUUUUAUAGAUUAAGAAUUAGAUAUAAAUUUAAGUAUUAACUUAAUUUGUGCCAGCAGUUGCGGUUAUACAAAUAAUGCAAUUUAAUUUUUUAAGUUUUAAUUAAUUUUAAGAAUAUAUAAAAUUAAAUAUUGAAUUAAUUGGGUGAAAUUUUUAAUUUAAUUAAAAUUUUAUUUUUGUUGAUGAGGUUAGAAAAUUUAUCUUUAAACUAGGAUUAGAUACCCUAUUAUUAUAAAUGUAAUAUUAAAUAUUAAGUAAUUAAUAGUUAUGAUCUUUAAAAUUAAAGAAUUUGGCGGUAUUUUAGUCUAUUCAGAGGAACCUGUUCUAUAAUCGAUAACCCACGAUUUAUUUUACUUAUUUUAAAUAGUUUGUAUAUCGUCGUAGUUUGAAUAUUUUAGGAGAAUUUAAAUAUUCAAGAUUUAUUAUUUAAAUUAAAUCAGAUCAAGAUGCAGUUUAUAAGUAAGGAGAGAUGGGUUACAUUAUUAUAAAAUAUAUGGAUUAAUUUAUGAAAGAAAUUAUAAAAUUGGAUUUGAAAGUAAUUUGAAUUAUUUAGUUUAAAUGAUUUAAGCUCUAAAAUAUGUACAUAUCGCCCGUCGCUUUCCCUUUAAGGGGAAAUAAGUCGUAACAAAGUAGGUGUACUGGAAAGUGUGCCUAGAAAGU
rnacentral:ncRNA from 1 species